rnacentral:rRNA from 1 species
CCUACGGGUGGCUGCAGUCGAGAAUCAUUGACAAUGGGGGAAACCCUGAUGGUGCGACGCCGCGUGGGGGAAUGAAGAUCUUCGGAUUGUAAACCCCUGUCAUGUGGGAGCAAAUUAAAAAGGUAGUACAACAAGAGGAAGAGACUGCUAACUCUGUGCCAGCAGCCGCGGUAAUACAGAGGUCUCAAGCGUUGUUCGGAAUCACGGGGAGUAAAGCGUGCGUAGGCGGUGUCGUAAGUCGUGUGUGAAAGGCGGGGGCCCAACCCGUGGACUGCACAAGAGACUGUGAGACUGGAGUGAUGGAGGGGGAAGCGGAAUUCUUGGUGUAGCAGUGAAAUGCGUAGAUAUCGGGAGGAACACUAGUGGCGAAGGCGGGUUCCUGGACAGUAACUGACGCUGAGGCACGAAGGCGAGGGGAGCGAAAGGGAUUAGAUACCCGUGUAGUC